UACGUAGGGGGCAAGCGUUGUCCGGAAUCAUUGGGCGUAAAGAGCGUGUAGGCGGCCUGAUAAGUCGGUUGUGAAAGUCAAGGGCUCAACCCUUGAAUGCCGACCGAUACUGUCAGGCUAGAGUCCGGAAGAGGCGAGUGGAAUUCCUGGUGUAGCGGUGAAAUGCGCAGAUAUCAGGAGGAACACCAAUGGCGAAGGCAGCUCGCUGGGACGGUACUGACGCUGAGACGCGAAAGCGUGGGGAGCGAACAGG
rnacentral:rRNA from 1 species